rnacentral:other from 1 species
AUUUACCUGAGAUGUUAGUCAGGGAUAAAACCUUAACCUACAGAUAGAAUACGGGAGCUUGGGUACCAUUAUGGAAAUCGAGCCUUCUUUAAAAGUUGGUGGAUUGAAGUAGUGGUCAGAGCACCCACCUGUGUGAGUGCAGGUGUAAGGUUUAUAUCUGACGGCAUUUUGGGUCAUAA